rnacentral:rRNA from 1 species
UAGCAAUACCGAAGGAAGUCUAGCGGCGAACGGGUGCUUAACACGUGGGCAACCUGCCAAGAAGUGGGGGAUAGCUCGCCGAAAGGCGAAUUAAUACCGCAUGUGAUUAGAGAGGACAUCCUUUCGAAAUUAAAGUCGGGGCAACCUGACGCUUUUUGUGGGGCCCGCGGCCUAUCAGCUAGUUGGUGAGGUAACGGCCCACCAAGGCUUUGACGGGUAGCUGGUCUGAGAGGACGACCAGCCACACUGGGACUGAGACACGGCCCAGACACCUACGGGUGGCAGCAGUCGAGAAUUUUUGACAAUGGGGGAAACCCUGAUCGAGCGACGCCGCGUGGAGGAUGAAGGUCUUCGGAUUGUAAACUCCUGUCAUUGGGGAACAAGGUGCAUACGUUAACUGCGUGUGCAUUGAUAGUACCCGAAGAGGAAGAGACGGCUAACUCUGUGCCAGCAGCCGCGGUAAUACAGAGGUCUCAAGCGUUGUUCGGAUUCAUUGGGCGUAAAGGGUGCGUAGGCGGCGCGGUAAGUCGGGUGUGAAAUCUCGGGGCUUAACUCCGAAACUGCAUUCGAUACUGCCGUGCUUGAGGACUGGAGAGGAGACUGGAAUUCACGGUGUAGCA